rnacentral:snRNA from 1 species
CACGGCGAGGCUUUGCCAUUGCACAUCGGCUUAGCUGACCCUUGCGAUUACCCCAAAUGUGGGUAACUCGGUCGUAUAAUUUCUGGUAGUGGGGACUGCGUUCGCGCUAUCCCCGU